GGAAUAUUGGACAAUGGAGGAAACUCUGAUCCAGCCAUGCCGCGUGCAGGAAGAAUGCCCUAUGGGUUGUAAACUGCUUUUAUUUAGGAAGAAUCCCCCCGACGUGUCGGGGGUUGACGGUACUAAACGAAUAAGGACCGGCCAACUCCGUGCCAGCAGCCGCGGUAAUACGGAGGGUCCAAGCGUUAUCCGGAAUUAUUGGGUUUAAAGGGUCCGCAGGCGGACUAGUAAGUCAGUGGUGAAAUCUCUCAGCUUAACUGGGAAACUGCCAUUGAUACUGUUAGUCUUGAAUUCGGUCGAAGUGGGCGGAAUGUGUCAUGUAGCGGUGAAAUGCAUAGAUACGACACAGAACACCGAUAGCGAAGGCAGCUCACUAGGCCCGAAUUGACGCUCAGGGACGAAAGCGUGGGGAGCG
rnacentral:rRNA from 1 species